GGGAUGGAAAUGGAAGAGAAGGGAUGGAAGUGAAUGGAAGAGGAGGGGGAGAAAGGACUGGGGGAGGAGGAAAAGGUGAUGACGGAUAGCUCCUGUUUUACAUUCCCAUAACAAGGAAAAGCCAUGGGAUAGUGAGGAAGUGACAGUAUCUAAACCAGGAAGAGAGCCCCACCCCCAGCAAAAACGUAAAUUAUUUGUCACUUAAAGCACUUCUCCAGCUUCCAGAGGUGAGGAAAAAAAUGUUGUUCAAGCCAGCUAGACUGUCGUGUUUUCUAAUGACAGCUUGAGCAGACGAAUGGACUCAGAACUUUCGUUUCUUUCUGGAAAGCACAGAAAGUUGUGCCUUUUAUUUUUGUCUGCUCUACUCAGCAUUCCAGACAUACACAAGCUCUAUAAGACAUGUUAAAUCAUUUUUUUUGGAUUACUCUUCAAGAAACCUGAAAUGAGUUUGGUUUUUCUAUGACUACCUGGCAAAUAAUAUGCAAUAGAAGGUAAGUCCGCCUCAUUUAAAAAUUUCAAUUUCCCCCAGAGAACACACAUUGCAAUUUACUCCUCCCCAUAUCAAGGUUUGUCAUCACUGCAACAGAUUCUAGUUUGAACAGGUGCAUAAAUCUCUCUCUCUCUCUCUCUCUCUCUCUCUCUCUCUCUCUCUCUCUCUCUCCUCUCACCCUCUUCCUAUUUCUCACUCUCUCUCUUCCCCCUUUCUUUCUCUCUCCAUUUAUUUCCAAAUUUUGUUAUUAUUACUGACACUGGCAGGAAUUCCUAUUUUAAAAUACGACAAAGUAAAUUGAGGGAUUAUUAUAUUUUACUUCGUUUAAAAUCGUACACAAGAGGUAGCUGAUUUGACAGUACAGUGGUGAUAUAGACUAGAUUUCCUAUCUAGCAAGAGAAUCUAUAGCAUGACGAAGGUACAAGGAAUGGAACGAUCAGGUCCUAUGUGUAACGCCAUUUGGAGGGGUAUUCUAUAGGACCCAUGAGCCAUUGUUCGAAAUCCUGUGCAAACAUUUCUUCCUUCAUCUGCACCUUCCCUAAGUUUAUCUAUGCUUAGCUCCAAAAUACAGCUUUGCUUUAUUUUAUGAACUGAUAGCAACUGAACGAGUCUAGCUUUUUAAAUAAAAAAAAUAAAUUAAAAUAACUUGGUGUACUCUUCUCCCAAGCUCUUAAUUUUUAUAUUUCUAUAACCAUUAUGCAGAUAAGAGAAUAUUCUCAUCAUUCGCUUCUGAAAAAUUCUUUUCAUAUCUAAUACAUUUAAUAAACAAAUUUGAAUCAUAGUUACAGUUCUAGAACAUCAAGCAACUUUGAGGUCCACUACGUACUUGCAAAUAAAAUUGUAGCUUUAUUUGUUGAAAAGUUUUAUUCUUUGAAGACAAACAUUUUACUUACAUUAAAUAGGGAAGAAGUGUGCCACCAUGGAAAACAAGGAUGGAGAAAAAAAACUGCUUGAGUCUGAGCCCUAACUCCUCCAACUUACUACACAUCUUCCUGUGACGUGUCUUGAGAGAGGCUCAGUGUUUUGGGAUGUGCGUUGAGAGGGUCAUAGUGUCCUCCUGUGAAAUGUGUUCAGAGGGGCAUAGUGUCUUUCUGUAACACAUGGUGACGGGGACACAGUGACAGAAAGCUGUGACAGGUGUUGAUGGGGCUACAGUGUCCUGUGACACAUGUUAAGAGGAAGUCAGUGUCCUCUUUCACCACAUGAGUUCUGGAGAUGGUUCUGGUUGGCAGGUUGAGCAGCAAAUCCCUUUACCUGAUGAACAAUUUCACUAGCCUUCAAGAAGUGUGUUAAGACAUGUAUACCAUCCCACGUCACGUAUUUGCUUAUAUCCAGCUAUCUUUGCCACAGCACAAGAAACACUUUCCAUGUCAUGGGAGUAGCUGAUGUUUCUAUCUUGCCAGCUCUCAGUGGCAACAAUGACUCCCCUACAAGGCAUAGGGGUAAGUGGUUUUAUAUGAAGACAUGAUCAUUUAAAAACUCUAAUCUGCUCUUACUGUGUGAACCCACAGGUUAGCAAAAGAGAGAACCAUAUGUUCUGUGACUGAACUUGUGACCUAGACAUAAGUUUCAGCACCUGGGAAAUGCCCCCAAAGCAGUCCUAGACUGUAGUUGUUCCUCAAUGUUCCUUUGAAAAUGGGCAUUAAUGUGGAGAAAAGGGGAGCACUGAAAAGCUAGCAUGAACUGAAGACCUUUAGAAAAUUACUUUGAUUCUCGUCCAAGCAUGCUCAGUGAGGAGACUGAACUUUGGUGAAUGCAUUCUUUAUCUGAAAGACUUCUCAGAAGACCCCUUGUUAAGACAAAGUCCUAGUGAGUAGAGAGUGAUUUAGGGCUGAGGUGAUGAUUAAGCUGUAGGUUUAUCCCUUUUUUUACCCAUUUUACUAGAACUGGACAAAGUAACAUGCCAGUGACAUCUGAUAGAGCAGUACAAAGAACUCUGUGGUCAGAGUCUGAACUAAAGCUGUUACUGGGGAUAGUAAAUUGUCUUUCUAAAUUGCAACAUGCAUACACGUGUGGCAGUAAUGUCAACCUUACAGCCAUAAAUAAAAAUCAUGCAAAGUCCACAAUUAACUUUAUAAAUAUUGGAUAUUACUAUCAUUUUCCAAGGUUUUGAUUUUUAAUUUUAAUUAUGUGUACUUAUGUGUAUCCGUGUGGGGGUUGUGUGCAAGUGAGUACCAUGCCCAGCAAAUCCAAAAGAAUUUGGACUCAUAGAGAAGGAGUUAAAGGUAUUGGAAGCAUCCUCCCCCAUGAGAGCGAUGGGAACUGAACUCCAGUCCUCAACAAAACUGGCGGAUACUCACUGUUAACCGUUGAACCAUCUCUCCUGCCCUGUUAUUUUUCAUUUUUAUUCAUGAUAAUGAGUUUAAUAUUCUAUAUUAGAAUAGCUAGUUGCUCAAAGCUUUGUUUUCUUUAAAAUUUCUGUUUAUGCCAGAAGCAUGUCUUCUGGGGUGCUUAGGAGGCGGUUGGUGAAUACACAGCAUAAAACUGUAUUGUGAGACAGCAAGAGUGGGAGCUGCAAUGCCUUCAUGUUAUCAUCCGUACUAUUGGUCUGUCCCUUCACAAUGGCCUUCUGAUCCGAGCACUGUACUUAAUGCUAAAUGCAACAAGAUUGCUUCUAAGAAAAUAAUGUCAAUCUGGAACUCUGAAUGUCAUCCUCUGAGAAGAUGCCCAUGAUACCAAACACAGAGGUCAGCACUCUCCUGGGUGAAGAUUUGCUGCAAUCGAAUGUGGAUGUGCUGAUCUCUGUGCUCCUGGAUGUGGAGCUGUUAAUCUUCCCUCCAGAGUUGGAUGCAGGCCCAGCCUGCCACGUAGCACUAAGCGAUGCCAUGCCAAUUCCAGACAAGGUCUUUAUUGCUGGCAAUGUUGCAUAAUGACAGCUUUAUUCAUGUGAAAACGCAGAAUACAUUUCAACUGUAUGAAAUUGUUUAUGUUCAUCAGAAUUGUUAUUUGUCUUCACAAAGUCUGGUUUCAAUGAACCAGCUAUGUAAUGGAUAUUAAAUAAACAUGGAAUUUUACAUGUUCA
rnacentral:sRNA from 1 species